rnacentral:rRNA from 1 species
AGCUCCAGUAGCGUAUAUUAAAGUUGUUGCAGUUAAAAAGCUCGUAGUUGGAUUUCUGGCAAGAUGGGCCCGACCCGGUACCAAGUACUGAGUGUUGGUUGCCCAUCUGCCAUCCUUCCAGAGAACGACGAUGUAGGUUCAUCCCUGUGUCGUCGCAAUCUGGAACUUUUACUUUGAAAAAAUUAGAGUGUUCAAAGCAGGCGUUACGCUGUGAAUACAUUAGCAUGGAAUAAUAAUUUAGGACUUUUGUUCUAUUUUGUUGGUCUCUAGGACGAAAGUAAUGAUUGAUAGGGAUAGUUGGGGGUGCUAGUAUUGAGCGGCCAGAGGUGAAAUUCUUGGAUUCGCUCAAGACUAACUUAUGCGAAAGCAUUCACCAAGGAUGUCUUCUUUAAUCAAGAAC